GCGCCCCCCCCCCAAGCGGGGGUCCCCCCGGUCGGGACAGAAAUCCACGGGAGUCGUGUCACACCGCUGUCCGUGAGGGCAUCGGGACAGGCCGAAUGUGGGAAAGAUGUGUGGAAUGAGGCUUGGAAACUGUGUCCCUUGUGGAGUGCGAGGGAACACCCGGAAAAGGAAAGGAACUGCUCGGUGUGGUGUGACCCCGGGCUGAUCCCGCCUCUCGAACACCUUUAGGCGGUUUGCUUAAAGAAAGAGAAACUACAGUUACAUCUUCAGAAAAGGUCAGCCUUGCUCUUCCCUCCACCUGCAACCACACGCUUGUGCCUCCAGCCUUGCAUGACCAUGGCUGUGUGUGAGACUGUGUGAUGGGACAGGUCAGGGAGCUGAUCCUUUUUUCUCUGCAGUGCACCAGUGCUUGUGUGAUUCUGGCACUCCCAAAAAGCAGAAGAACUGAAGCUGCUGGGAAAUCGUUGCCCUGGGGCUGGAGUGGUUCUGAGGCUUGUCCUUCAAAUUCUAGAGGAAAUACACAUAUCUGGGUCACACAAAACAGUUCUGGUGAUAUUGUUCAGUGUGCUUUGUAGUUUGUCACUCUUGUUCUGUUGAGUAACUUGUUUAAUCUGAGUAACUCCCAACCCUCUGCUGCCUGAGUGUUUUAUUUGCUGUUGAUAUGUUACAAAGGUUGAUGAUCAAGUAACCCAGUAGUCAAAGUAUAAUGUCUGUAAUGAUUAUCCUUCUUAUGUUCAGUAAUAAAUGCAGUUAAUGUUUAUUAAUCAAAAA